GCGGAUGUAGCUCAAUAGGUAGAGCCGGUGCCUUCCAAGCACCAGGUUGAGGGUUCGAGACCCUUCGUCCGCUCCA
rnacentral:tRNA from 1 species